GCCCAACACCCGAAAGUUGGCACCGUUCCGUAGGUACCCAUCCUAACGAAAAUCGUGCUGAGUAUUCAGAAGAUCCAGGAUCAAAUUUGCCUGUGUGUCAUGGACAAGCCAUUUAACCUAACCAGAUGAAGCAGCUGAACUAGAUUUCUCAGGUCUAUUUCCGGCUUAGAAAUAAAACACACACUAAAACCCGCCAACACCAACAAAAACCAAAACCAGGACAAUAAACUGGCUUCUCAACUCCCCUUACCCACAAGCUAGUCCAGGUCGGCUAACUCUGUCCCUGGAGUUGCAGAAUAGCAACGGGAGAGAGAAAUUACACCAGCUCCGCGGGAGUAAAAAAAAAAUCUGAGCUGAAAUCAAAGGACCCAGAUGCGCUCUAUUCUUCCUCAUCAGAAUAAACUCUGCUCAUCUCCUAGUUGGCAGCGGUUUCCACUCAUUCUUGGCCUCCCAUCAGCUAAGGCCCAGACUCACGCCUGCCCGAGCUGUUGCAGGAAGCUGGGAGACAACAGGUGCUUCAAAGUGGACAUGAGGAUGCUGCCAUGCUGAAUCAGAUACCUGGGUGAUGAGCUGCAACAGAAGAAACAACAGCCCAUCGUAGAAUCCAGAACCACCAGGUGGAGUACGACGUAACUGAAAAAAAGAAGGGAAGAAGGUCAGCAUCUUGCUUCCAGACAAUGGGAGAAAGUUGCGCUUCCCUCUGAGAGCACCUUACCUCUGCAGGAGCAGACAGAGCAUGUGCAGCCGCAG